GAAGGUUAGUUCUGUUGUUGUGAAGGAAGGUUAGUUCUGUUGUUGUGAAGGAAGGAAGGUUGGUUCUGUUGUUGUGAAGGAAGGUUAGUUCUGUUGUUGUGAAGGAAGGAAGGUUGGUUCUGUUGUUGUGAAGGAAGGUUAGUUCUGUUGUUGUGAAGGAAGGUUAGUUCUGUUGUUGUGAAGGAAGGAAGGUUAGUUCUGUUGUUGUGAAGGAAGGUUGGUUCUGUUGUUGUGAAGGAAGGUUGGUUCUGUUGUUGUGAAGGAAGGUUAGUUCUGUUGUUGUGAGGGAAGGAAGGUUAGUUCUGUUGUUGUGAAGGAAGGAAGGUUAGUUCUGUUGUUGUGAAGGAAGGAAGGUUAGUUCUGUUGUUGUGAAGGAAGGUUAGUUCUGUUGUUGUGAAGGAAGGAAGGUUAGUUCUGUUGUUGUGAAGGAAGGUUGGUUCUGUUGUUGUGAAGGAAGGAAGGUUCUGUUGUUGUGAAGGAAGGUUAGUUCUGUUGUUGUGAAGGAAGGUUGGUUCUGUUGUUGUGAAGCAAGGUUAGUUCUGUUGUUGUGAAGGAAGGUUAGUUCUGUUGUUGUGAAGGAAGGUUAGUUCUGUUGUUGUGAAGGAAGGUUAGUUCUGUUGUUGUGAAGGAAGGUUAGUUCUGUUGUUGUGAAGGAAGGUUGGUUCUGUUGUUGUGAAGGAAGGUUAGUUCUGUUGUUGUGAAGGAAGGAAGGUUAGUUCUGUUGUUGUGAAGGAAGGAAGGUUAGUUCUGUUGUUGUGAGGGAAGGAAGGUUAGUUCUGUUGUUGUGAGGGAAGGAAGGUUAGUUCUGUUGUUGUGAAGGAAGGAAGGUUAGUUCUGUUGUUGUGAAGGAAGGAAGGUUAGUUCUGUUGUUGUGAAGGAAGGAAGGUUAGUUCUGUUGUUGUGAGGGAAGGAAGGUUAGUUCUGUUGUUGUGAAGGAAGGUUGGUUCUGUUGUUGUGAAGGAAGGUUGGUUCUGUUGUUGUGAAGGAAGGUUAGUUCUGUUGUUGUGAAGGAAGGAAGGUUAGUUCUGUUGUUGUGAAGGAAGGAAGGUUAGUUCUGUUGUUGUGAAGGAAGGAAGGAAGGUUAGUUCUGUUGUUGUGAAGGAAGGUUAGUUCUGUUGUUGUGAAGGAAGGUUAGUUCUGUUGUUGUGAAGGAAGGUUGGUUCUGUUGUUGUGAAGGAAGGUUAGUUCUGUUGUUGUGAAGGAAGGUUAGUUCUGUUGUUGUGAAGGAAGGUUGGUUCUGUUGUUGUGAAGGAAGGUUAGUUCUGUUGUUGUGAAGGAAGGUUAGUUCUGUUGUUGUGAAGGAAGGUUGGUUCUGUUGUUGUGAAGGAAGGUUGGUUCUGUUGUUGUGAAGGAAGGUUAGUUCUGUUGUUUUGAAGGAAGGUUAGUUCUGUUGUUGUGAAGGAAGGUUGGUUCUGUUGUUGUGAAGGAAGGUUAGUUCUGUUGUUGUGAAGGAAGGUUAGUUCUGUUGUUGUGAAGGAAUGAAGGUUAGUUCUGUUGUUGUGAAGGAAGGUUAGUUCUGUUGUUGUGAAGGAAGGUUAGUUCUGUUGUUGUGAAGGAAGGUUAGUUCUGUUGUUGUGAAGGAAGGUUAGUUCUGUUGUUGUGAAGGAAGGUUAGUUCUGUUGUUGUGAAGGAAGGUUAGUUCUGUUGUUGUGAAGGAAGGUUAGUUAUGUUGUUGUGAAGGAAGGUUAGUUCUGUUGUUGUGAAGGAAGGAAGGUUGGUUCUGUUGUUGUGAAGGAAGGUUAGUUCUGUUGUUGUGAAGGAAGGAAGGUUGGUUCUGUUGUUGUGAGGGAAGGAAGGUUAGUUCUGUUGUUGUGAAGGAAGGAAGGUUAGUUCUGUUGUUGUGAAGGAAGGAAGGUUCUGUUCCAUACUGACAUUUUUAUCACUUUCACAACAUUUUACACAAAGUCUUGGAGGGUAUACAAUCUUAGUCUGCUUCUCUGCUAGUCAAUAUCUUCCCUUCCUUCCUCUCUAACAGGAAGUACCUGUCCUGCGUUGGUUACCCAGAAUGCAAGUGUUCCGUGUGGUUUCCUGACACGGUGUUAGAGGUCAACAGAGACGAGUCUGUCUGUCCCACCUGUCAGCCACGCCCCGUUCACAUGUAGGUACCUGUCUGUCUGUCUGUCUGUCUGUCUGUCUGUCUGUCUGUCUGUCUGUCUGUCUGUCU
rnacentral:lncRNA from 1 species